AUAGCUCCUUUGAUUAGCAAUUCAAUGCAUCUCAUUUAACAACAGCAAUACCUCCCAACAUUAUCAAGAGGAGUAGAGCAAACCGAUAGAUAUUGAUUGAUAUUUACAGUACAGGGCAGGUGAGGAGCAGGUGGGUAACUAACAUUGACAGUCUGACAUAGACCCAUCGUAACACACAACUUGGAGUUCAGUUGGGUGUGUGUGUGUGUGUGUGUGUGUGUAUGUGUGUGUGUGUGUGUGUCCCACAGUU